CAGGCAGGGAGCUGAAGUAGUUCUUGACUGGAGCUGAUGCUGGGAAGUCAGUAGGGACUCAGUUCUGAGCAGGCUAGCUGUCAGCUGAAUCCCAGAAUGGCUCACCCCCCUAAGACCGAUAAGAGGACUGUGAUGGAACCCUCUCGCUUGUCCAGGCUCUGAGGAUCCACCAUAGAGUAGUAAACCCAAGAAACGCAGACAAAAUCAUUUGGUCCUGGACCGGAUCUUUCAGGAACAUCCCAGCGGUAAAUACCAGCUGAGGUUCUCAUCAAAUACACUGAACAGGAGUUAUUUCUUCACCAUAGGACGAAGAGCCUGAAUCAUUGCAGUGGGAGAGCUGACUGUACCUGCUUGUUGCUGGUGUUGAGAGUCCCAGGUCUGCAGAUCACCAGAGGGCCCAAUAAGCCGG